rnacentral:rRNA from 1 species
AGUUCGAUUAUGGCUCAGAUUGAACGCUGGCGGGAUGUUUUACACAUGCAAGUCGAACGGCAGCACGGACUUCGGUCUGUGGCGAGUGGCGAACGGGUGAGUAAUGUAUCGGAACGUGCCUAGUAGCGGGGGAUAACUAUGAAAGCGUAGCUAAUACCGCAUACUGCCCUCGGGGGAAAGCGGGGACCUUCGGGCCUCGCACUAUUAGAGCGGCUGGGAUAUCGAUUGAGCGAAGGUGGGGCAACGGCUCACCAGUUGGCGACGAUCCGUAGCCGGUUUGAGAGGACGACCAGCCACACUGGGGACUGAGACACGCCCAGACUCCUACGGGAGGCGUGCAGCAGUGGGGAAUUUUGGACAAUGGGGGAAACCCCGAUCCAGCCAUCCUGGCGUGUGCGAUGAAGGCCUUCGGGUUGUAAAGCACUUUUGGCAGGAAAGAAACGGCACGGGAUAAUACCCUGUGCAACUGACGGUACCUGCAAUAAGCACCGCUAACUACAGCCUGCAGCCGCGGAUACGUAGGUAAGCGUUAAUCGGAAUUACUGGGCGUAAGCGUGUGCGCAGUAUACUCGGAAAGAAAGAUGUGAAAUCCUGAAGCUUAACUUUGGAACUGCAUUUUUAACUACCGAGCUAGAGUGUCAGAGGGAGGUGGAAUUCCGCGUGUAGCAGUGAAUGCGUAGAUAUGUGGAGGAACACCGAUGGCGAAGGCAGCCUCCUGGGGAUAACACCGACGCUCAUGCACGAAAGCGUGGGGAGCAAACAGGAUUAGAUACCCUGGUAGUCCACGCCCUAAAAACGAUGUCAACUAGCCGUUGGGGCCUUCGGGCCUGGUAGCGCAGCUACGCGUGAAGUUGACCGCCUGGGGAGUACGGUCGCAAGAUUAAAACCCAAAGGAAUUGACGGGGACCCGCACAAAGCGGGAUGAUGUGGAUUAAUUCGAUGCAACGCGAAAACCUUACCUACUCCUUGAUGUCUGGAAUCCCGAAGAGAUUUGGGAGGUUUUUGGAAGAGAACCUUCGGAACACAGGCGCUGCAUGGCUGUCGUCAGCUCGUGUCGUGAGAUGUUGCUUAAGUCCCGCAACGAGCGCAACCUCCUUGCUGUUAUUGGCAUGAAAGGGCACUCUAUCGAGACUGCUGGUGACAAACCGAGGAAGGUGGGGAUGACGUCAAGUCCUCAUGGCCCUUAUGGGUAGGGCUUCACACGUCAUACAAUGGUCGGGACAGAGGGUCGCCAACUCCGCGAGGGGGAGCCAAUCCCAGAAACCCGAUCGUAGUCCGGAUCGCAUUGCAACUCGACUGCGUGAAGUCGGAAUCGUUGCACGAUCAGCAUGUCAGGGUGAAUACGUUCUGGUCUUGUACACACCGCCUGUCACACCAUGGGAGUGGGUUUUGCCGAGUAGUUAGCCUAACCGUAAGGAGGGCGAUUACCAGUAGGAUUCAUGACUGGGGUGAAGUCGUAACAAGGUAG